AUUAUUGGUAUGUAGUUUUGUUUUCUUUUUUGAUUUCCGAAAGCCCCAAAAUUGACUCUCGAAUUGGUUUGUGUUUCCCCUAGAUAUUAAAAAUCUCUUGCAUUUUAUUUUUUAGAUUUCUCUUUGCAGUUUGGGUAAUGCAUUGCUCUGUUUCUCAUUUUUGUGAAAUGAGAUUGACUGGUUCAGGCAUUCGCACGGAGUCAAAAGUUGCCGGGUUGGAGGUAGAUUACUUGGAUAAACUUUCUGCCUAGUGAUACACUGUUUGGUUUUACUGGAAUUGGAGAGGGAGAGAGAUUUAGUGAUGUGGUUGGUAGCCCAUAUUACGUUGCACCAGAAGUCUUACGCAAGUGGUAUGGUUCAGAAGCAUAUGUUUGGAGUGCUGGAGUGAUUCUUUACAUUCUGUUAAGUGGAGUGCCUCCAUUUUGGGCUGAGAGCGAGCAAGGGAUAUUUGAAGAAGUAUUACAUGGUGACCUAGACUUUUCAACAGACCCAUGGCCUAGUAUUUCUGAAGGUGCCAAAGAUUUAGUAAGGAAAAUGCUUAUUCGAGAUCCCAAAAGGCGGAUAUCUGCACAUUAUGUUUUGUGUGAGUUUCUGUCACUGGUUUGCUUUCAUAAUUACAAUUUUUGUGUUUGACCUGUGUUGCUACUGAAAUUAAAGGGUUGCAAUUAUUGUUGAGCAAAGCUUUUUGGAAAAGCAUCUGUUAUUGUUGAGCAUAUGCAAUUCCAUUCCAGCCAUCAUAGUUAUGUCACGGUGUUAAAAUGUUUUGUGGGCCUCUUGGCAUAUACUUAAAUUGUUUGCUUGUCCGAAGCCUUGCUUUUGAUUAUGAUGACUUUUACAUUGUUUUUUUUUUUUGGUCAGUUGCCCUUGAUACGUUUCUGCAGUAGCUGUUAAGGCAAAUUUAUUUGAUGUGGCUUUAAAUACAAAUAUUCUUGAUACUGGAUCUAAUGGUUCCUUGAGGUAAGGCCUUUAGUUUGAUUUGCCAAGUUUAAUAUAGUUAUACACAUCAGAGGUCAAUAUUUUAAAGACUGGUUGUUCUUGUUUUUUUUCUUGUUUUGGUAUCGUUAUCACUGUUUUGGUAUGCAUUUUCUUGGAAUCGUUAUUACUGUUUUGGUAUGCAUUUUCUUGUUUUUUUCUUCAUUAUUUUGUAUUUUUGGUAACUGUAAGGGUUUUUUCUUUUUUACAUUUUCCCUAUAUCAACAUUUUAGGAAAAGAAAAUCUCUAUUUCACCAUUGAAGAUCUGCCCCUACUUGCUUCUCUUCUAGUCAUCUUGAGUGUCUCUAGUCAUCUCUAAAGUCUUUGGUCAACUAUGUAUCAUAGUCUACUCUAUUGG